AUACGGAGGAUGCGAGCGUUAUCCGGAUUCAUUGGGUUUAAAGGGUGCGUAGGCUGUUUUUCAAGUCAGAGGUGAAAGCCCGGGGCUUAACUCCGGAACAGCCUUUGAUACUGGGAGGCUUGAAUGCUGUUGCCGUGGGAGGAAUGAGUAGUGUAGCGGUGAAAUGCAUAGAUAUUACUCAGAACACCGAUUGCGAAGGCAUCACCGAAACAAGUGAUUGACGCGGAGGCCCUAAAGCGUUGGGGUCAACCAGGAUCGAAAACCCGGGUAGCCCUCGCAGUAAACGAUUAAGUCUAGCCGCCGGCGAGAGACUGUCGGUGGCCAAGCGAAAGCGAUAAGUCAUCCCCCUGGGGAGUACGACCGCACCGUUGAAACUCAAAGGAAUUGACGGGG
rnacentral:rRNA from 1 species